AAGAGAGGCUCGCUAGCAACGAACACUGCUAAUAUUCGUCCCCUUGGUUGGACUCCAGGGCUCCCUCA
rnacentral:tRNA from 2 species